rnacentral:rRNA from 1 species
AACGAACGCUGGCGGCAGGCUUAACACAUGCAAGUCGAGCGCCCCGCAAGGGGAGCGGCAGACGGGUGAGUAACGCCGAGGAAUCUACCGAGGCCUAGGUAAUAGCUCCGGGAAAAUGGAAUUACUACCUUAUACGCUCGUUGGUGGAAAGUUUUAUCGGGGUUUGAUGAGCCCGCGUUGGAUUAGAUAGUUGGUGGGGUAAAGGCCUACCAAGGCGACGAUCCAUAGCUGGUCUGAGAGGAUGGUCAACCACAUGGGGACUGAGACACGGCCCAAAAACCUACGGGAGGCAGCAGUGGGGAAUAUUGGACAAUGGGGGCAAGCCUGAUCCAGCCAGGCCGCGUGAGUGAUGACGGCCUUAGGGUUGUAAAGCUCUUUCAACCACGACGAUAAUGACGGUAGUGGGAGAAGAAGCCCCGGCUAACUUCGUGCCAGCCGCCGCAGUAACAC